GCCUCACCGAGUCCAUAUCCAAACUCACCGGACAUUUCCUUGAGAACAGGUCGGACGCUUGGUGUAAGUUUUCCUUCUUUAACACGCAUUUGACCCGGCAAGUGAGUUCAUGGAUUCUGGUUUUGGUGUCUGUGGAGCGUGUGAUAGCUGUUUACCUCCCAUUGAAGGCAAAGAAGGUGUGUUCGAGGAAAGCAGGGGCGAUAGCACUACUCAUUACAGCGAUCGUGAUGGCCUUACUCAGUGGCCGCUUGUUCUUUACCCGCCACCUCACCAAGCAGGGUGAGUGCAGGUCGCCAAGUGACCUUGCUCACUUCGCCUCCAAGAUCUCGCCCUGGAUUAUCAAGGUGUUCUACUGGUUAGCGCCCUCUAUCUUCAUGGUAUUCACCAACACGCUGAUUCUCGUCAAAUUCCGCUUGAUUGCUAAGAGAGGCUCUGGCCGAUCCGCUGAUAAAGUCGCCAACAACACCAUCAUCAUUCUCGUAGCGACCACCACAUUCAUCCUCACCACCACGCCCCUUUCGCUAUUCUUCAUCCUGAACCCAGGAUGGAACAUACAAGCUGCUGAGGUCAAGGUCAAGUAUGAACUGCGAUAUGCUCUCCUCCAAUCAUGGGCGUACCUGAACCACGCCGUCAACUUUCUCCUGUAUGUGACGUCAGCGCCGGUAUUCAGGCGGGAGCUGGUCGCUUUGCUUUCAGGGAUAUUUAAAUGUAAACAACAACAGGUGACACCGGAUAAUUCUAGUGGUACUAACAUGAUAGCGUCUCGUAGGCAUUUGCCGUCUGCGUCUAACAAUGAAGCUAGCUCUAGGACCCGAGUUGAGGAGCAGACCGACCAGCGUUUUAAUGGUCUCAGCCAGAAUCAGCUCCGUCGCAAGCUGCAGCUGCGCAAAGCAAUACCUGAUCGGCGUGUCUCCUCCACCAGGUCGGUGUUCAAUGUCAUGCUUUCUUCUCAGUACCCAUCACAGGCUAGUGUGGACGGUUUACCAAAUGUGGCCGUCUGAUGGAGAUGGGCUUGACGGAGGAUGGACGUGUAACCAUAUUCUAGUGGAGGAUGGUUUAUUUCUCCUCAACUAUGAAUAUACUCUCAAAAAUAGACACGUGGCGUCGAUCAUUACCAUGGGAACAAUGCUAAGAUGCAAGUCACAGAAGGUUGAAUUUAUUUGGUGAGGACAGAAAACUUAGUUGGUGAACAUCGCAAAAGAGCCUUCUGCUAUAAAUUGGAGAUGUAAGCUAAUAAUCACUGUUUGUCGUCCCGUGUGUGUUGACGUGAGAUAAAGAACUACUUGGUAUGUCUAAUCCUCUUUCUGGCAUAUUGACCCUCAAUGUAUUGACAUUGCUCAGCUUUCAGACAAAGCGAGGCUGCGGAGGCACUACCACUGGAAGUUCGGUAUUGCCGGGUUUCUGGUAGAGAAAGCUUUCUCCGAUAGGACUGUAGAAUCAAAUGUCCACACAAGAAUGACUUGCAGAUGCCGUAGAUAAUAUUAAGUUAUGUUAAGUAGACUGUCGUGUUAUCUUGGUCUGCUAUAAAGUUGUGAUAGGCGAGAAUGUGAGGUAAUCGGUGGACACGAUAGCACGCGACGCCUGUAGAUCCGGUUCAAGCCCAACUACAACUCAGAUUUUGCCCAGACCAGUCGUAUAUUCUUGACGCUUCCAACCCUAACCUGCCAAUAUGAAGAUCGUAUUCAUGCUGCUUACCCUAGUGCUUGUGUUGACUGUGGUCAGCGCGAAGAAACCAAGGGGCAACCGAGGAGGUCACAGGCAUCAGAUUAGUCCCGCCCAGAAGAAGUGUAAGGGCUGCGUCAAGAAGUGUCUUUACGUCGACCAGAACUCAUUCGCCGACUGCAUCAGCGCAGAAGAGGACAACUGCUUCAAUCUCUGCACGGAGGCUAAGAUGAUUCCCUGCCUGGAGUGUAUCGACGACUGCAAGAACACUGCCAAUGAUGACGGCUCGGAGCGCACCAUGAGGUUCUGUAUUGGUCGCCAGUCACCUUGCCAUCAAACCUGUUACCACUCAUAGGGCAAAGGUUGCUGGGAGAGACACAUGUGUCUGUAUCAUGGAGGCCUCUACUGACCAUCCAGCGAUUCGGACCCAACUAAUUAAUCAGGGAACAGUAUACUUACUAACCUAAUUAAACCUACAUCUUUCACACACAAGACAACACCCAAUCAAAAUUACUUUUCUUCAUUCAUAUUUGACAAUCGGACAUUUUAUCUCUCAACCUUUUCAUCGUGUUCUGCAUGUUAUAAGAAAAGAAACGUUUUCUUUCGACACUUAAUUCGGAAGCUGUAUCAAUGACGUCAUAGCUGCUGUACUCCGACAAGACCAACUAAACCUUUCUCAUAUUGCAUGGCUUCUAUCGCUUUUGUAUGUACUAUCAUGGUCGUGAUAGUUAAAAAUAAUGUGAACGGGCAUUUUGUGUUAUUUCUGUCAAAUACUUUUGAAUAAAGGUUUCUAGUGUUC